AUUGAACGCUGGCGGCAGGCCUAACACAUGCAAGUCGAGCGGAGCGGCGGACGGGUGAGUAAUGCCUAGGAAUCUGCCUGGUAGUGGGGGAUAACGUCCGGAAACGGGCGCUAAUAUCGCAUACUAUCAGAUGAGCCUAGGUCGGAUUAGCUAGUUGGUGGGGUAAAGUCCUACCAAGGCGACGAUCCGUAACUGGUCUGAGAGGAUGAUCAGUCACACUGGAACUGAGACACGGUCCCGACUCCUAAGGGAGGCAGCAGUAGGGAAUAUUGGACAAUGGGCUAAAGCCUGAUCCAGCCAUGCUGCGUGUGUGAAUAAGGGCUUCGGAUUGGAAAGUACUAUAAGUUGGAAGGCGUUACCAACAGAAUAAGCACCGGCUACCUUCGUGCCAGCCGCCGCGGAAAAAC
rnacentral:rRNA from 1 species